rnacentral:rRNA from 1 species
GGGGCUAAUACCGGAUGUGAUGAUAAUUUCGCAUGAUUUUAUUAUUAAAGGCGCUUUACGGUGCUGUUUACAGAUGAGUUUGCGUCCCAUUAGUUAGUUGGUAGGGUAAUGGCCUACCAAGACUUUGAUGGGUAGCCGGCCUGAGAGGGUGAACGGCCACAUUGGGACUGAGAUACGGCCCAGACUCCUACGGGAGGCAGCAGUAGGGAAUUUUGCGCAAUGGGCGAAAGCCUGACGCAGCAACGCCGCGUGAGUGAUGACGGCCUUCGGGUUGUAAAGCUCUGUUGGACGGGAAGAAAAGCCAUUAUAGUAACUGAUAUUGGUCUGACGGUACCGUUCGAGGAAGCUCCGGCUAACUACGUGCCAGCAGCCGCGGUAAUACGUAGGGAGCGAGCGUUGUUCGGAAUUACUGGGCGUAAAGGGAGCGUAGGCGGGUUUUUAAGUUAGGAGUUUAAUACGUGGGCUUAACCCACGUCUGGCUUUUAAUACUGCUAAUCUUGAGUUAGGGAGAGGAUGAUGGAAUUCCAGGUGUAGCGGUGGAAUGCGUAGAUAUCUGGAAGAACACCCACAGCGAAGGCAGUCAUCUGGCCCUUUUACUGACGCUGAAGCUCGAAAGUCGGGGGAGCAAACAGGAUUAGAUACCCUGGUAGUCCCGACCGUAAACUAUGAACACUAGCUGCCGGUAGAGUCAAUCCUUUCGGUGGCGUAGCUAACGCAUUAAGUGUUCCGCCUGGGGAGUACGCCCGCAAGGGUGAAACUCAAAGGAAUUGACGGGGGCCCGCACAAGCGGUGGAGCAUGUGCUUUAAUUCGAUGCAACGCGAAGAACCUUACCCAGGCUUGACAUGGGGGCGCAAGUCCGUAGAAAUAUGGAACCUUCCGCAAGGAACGCCCUACACAGGUGCUGCAUGGUUGUCGUCAGCUCGUGUCGUGAGAUGUUGGGUUAAGUCCCGCAACGAGCGCAACCCUCUCCCUUAGUUGCCAUCAGGUUAUGCUGGGAACUCUAAGGGUACUGCCUAGUUUAACUAGGAGGAAGGUGAGGAUGACGUCAAAUCCUCAUGGCCCUUACGCCUGGGGCUA